rnacentral:misc_RNA from 1 species
GGAAUAUUUAUAGAGUUCUAUUAGAUGUAUUAGUUUGUUAUUUGGGAAUCUUGUGUUGAUAUGGUCCUAAUUAGUAGGGUUUUCUUGUUUAAGGAUUCCUAAUCCUAGUAGUAAAAAGACUAGUUAUUUUACCAUAAAUACAUGUCAUCUAGGGAUUUUAUUGAGAAUUAAUAUGAGUUUUGAGAAUUUUUUUUCUCUUCCUUUGUAUCUUGAAAAUUUGCUUCUCUUGAUCCUCUUGUGUUCUUGUUCUGCAUCAGAUAUGCUUCUUUCUUUACUGUGUGCUUGUAGCCUACAAAGAUCGUUGCUUAGGCAAAGUUCCCCUAAGUUAUACCCAUGGAACUAGCAGCAUCUGAACAAUAUGUCAAUUUGGUGUUGCUAAAUAAAUACUUGUGUUUGAACUUUGAAGUUAGAUUUGUUUGCUUGUGAUACAUACUUUGGAGAACCACACCCCAAAAGCUAG